AAUAGAUACCCAGGUAGUCCAAGCCGUAAACGAUGAGCACUAGGGAGGGGAGACCCCGAUGUCUUCCCUCCUGGCGCAAAUGUAUUAAGUGCUCCGCCUGGGGAGUACAGUCGCAAGGCCGAAACUCAAAGGAAUUGACGGGGGCUCACACAAGCGGUGGAGCAUGUGGUUCAAUUCGAAGCAACGCGCAAAACCUUACCUGGGCUUGACAUGCACGGAUUAGCCCCUGGAAACAGGGGUGACUCUCGAAAGGGUGGAACGUGCACAGGUGCUGCAUGGCUGUCGUCAGCUCGUGUCGUGAGAUGUCGGGUUAAGUCCCUUAACGAGCGAAACCCUUGCCGUUAGUUGCCAACGGGUAAUGCCGGGGACUCUAGCGGGACUGCCGUGGUUAACACGGAGGAAGGUGGGGAUGACGUCAAGUCCUCAUGGCCUUUAUGUCCAGGGCAACACACGUGCUACAAUGGCCGGUACAAAGCGACGCGAAACCGCAAGGUGGAGCAAACCGCAUAAAGCCGGCCCCAGUACAGAUUGUGGGCUGC
rnacentral:rRNA from 1 species